rnacentral:lncRNA from 13 species
AUGCUGGUGGGGAAACCUGAUGUUGCCCAUCAAGGAAUCUUAGUGCACUCAGGAGUUAUUGAUGCUGACUUUAAAGGUCAGAUUUGCACUAUGGUCUCCACGCAAAAACCCCCUGUAACUAUUCCUGAGAAAACCUGCCUUGCUAAAUUAGUGCCUUUUAACUCUUGUGUCCCCAGGAUGGAACAACCAACUCACGAAGAUAGCAGCAGUGGAUCUACAGGACUUCCGCAGGCCUUCUGGACUGCAGACAUUUCUGACCAAAGGCCACAGAUGACAUGUACCCUGAUCCUGCCGAAUACCCGUCCACCCCGGACUCAGCUUCGAGGUUUGAUUGAUACGGAUACUGGGAUACGGUGGCUACCUUCAAAAUGCGUUCGCCCUGACCUACGGCAGCAGAGGCAGAACAGGCAACCUCCAAAUGAUGACCAGAACGCCAACCAUCCAAAUGGCGACCAGAAUGUAGAUCAUCAGCCUAAUGACUCUUCUGAUGAUGACCAGGAUGUCAACCAUCAGGCAGAUGGUCCUUCUACAAGCAGAGACUGGGAUGGUCCUUCCACAAGCAGAGACUGAACUUUAAAUUUCUUGUUAUGGAGUCAGAUAGUUAAAGUCUUAAGGACAUAUUUAGAAUUAAUAACUGAUGUAAAUUUCUGUUUAGGAUUAAUAGUAGAGUUGUUAUCUUAUCAAACAUAAAGGGGGAAUUGUGGAUACAAAAAUGCUGCUAGCAAGGAUUUUCUUGCUAUUUUAUGUGAGAGACUUUUUCUCUCUCACAGAGAUAGUAGCAGAGUUCUGUAAAUAACCAAACACCUGCAACUUCUUGUUUAUAGUAUAGUAGAAAAAUAUUUUGAUGAUGGAUGUUUUAGGAUUCUAGCCAAUCACCCCCAAGGGGUGGCUGAUCUUCAUCCAAUUAGCUUAUGAAGAAAAAAGUCUAUAAAAGAGUUUGUAAAAUAAUUAAAUAAAUCAAUCUUGCUGCACAAUUCCUGCCUGCUGGAUCUUCUCUCCUCCUCCCUAUGGCUGCGGGACAUGGUAAUAUUUUACGGCAUUAAUAAAAAAUGGGUAACUCUCAUUGUGCCUGGCAUUUCCAUGUAUUUCCAAGACAUUCACUAGGUGAUGGAGGUAACAGCACUUCAUGGGUGGGUUUAAAAUCUG